rnacentral:rRNA from 1 species
UACGAAGGGGGCUAGCGUUGUUCGGAAUUACUGGGCGUAAAGCGCACGUAGGCGGCUUUGUAAGUUAGAGGUGAAAGCCCGGGGCUCAACUCCGGAAUUGCCUUUAAGACUGCAUCGCUAGAAUUGUGGAGAGGUAAGUGGAAUUCCGAGUGUAGAGGUGAAAUUCGUAGAUAUUCGGAAGAACACCAGUGGCGAAGGCGACUUACUGGACACAUAUUGACGCUGAGACGCGAAAGCGUGGGGAGCAAACAGG